GCCAUCAGUGAUGACUACUGGUGGUGUAUGAGUCAUGUACAAUGAAUACGAGUCUCGAAAGAC
rnacentral:snoRNA from 1 species